rnacentral:rRNA from 1 species
UACGUAGGUGGCAAGCGUUAUCCGGAUUUAUUGGGCGUAAAGGGAACGCAGGCGGUCUUUUAAGUCUGAUGUGAAAGCCUUCGGCUUAACCGGAGUAGUGUAUUGGAAACUGGUAGACUUGAGUGCAGGAGAGGAGAGUGGAAUUCCAUGUGUAGCGGUGAAAUGCGUAGAUAUAUGGAGGAACACCGGUGGCGAAAGCGGCUCUCUGGCCUGUAACUGACACUGAGGCUCGAAAGCGUGGGGAGCAAACAGG